GGGACCUGGUUUGGUGGCACUGCUGGGAUUCGCUCACCUGGCUCGGGGGGUGACACGUGUGAGGUGGCACCAGGUGGCAUCGGUGGCCUCCUGAGAGCACCUGGAGGGACCUGGUUUGGUGGCACUGACAGGACUCGGUCACCUGGCAUGGGGGUGACACAAGUGAGGUGGCACCGAUGGGAUUCGGUCACCUCCCAGGGACCAGGGGGACACAGGUCAGGUGGCACCAGGUGGCACCAGGUGGUCUCUGUCACCUCCCUCAGUCCUGGAGGGACCAAGGGGACACAGGUGAGGUGGCACUGGGUGACCUUGGUGGCCUCCUGGAAGCACCUGGAGGGACCUGGUUUGGUGGCACCGCUGGGAUUCGCUCACCUGGCUCGGGGGUGACACGUGUGAGGUGGCACCAGGUGGCACUGGGUGGCCUCGGUGGCCUCCUGAGAGCACCUGGAGGGACCCAGGGGGUGGCACUGACAGGACUCGGUCACCUGGCAUGGGGGUGACACGUGUGAGGUGCCACCGAUGGGGUUCAGUCACCUCCCAGGGACCAGGGGGACACAGGUCAGGUGGUACCGGGUGGCCUUGGUGGCCUCCUGGAAGCACCUGGAGGGACCUGGUUUGGUGGCACCGCUGGGACUCGGUCACCUGGCUUGGGGGUGACACGUGUGAGGUGGCACCGGGUGGCACCAGGUGGCCUCAGUCACCUCCCUCAGCCCUGGAGGGACCAGGGGGACACAGGUGAGGUGGCACCGGGUGGCCUUGGUGGCCUCCUGGAAGCACCUGGAGGGACCUGGUUUGGUGGCACCGCUGGGAUUUGCUCACCUGGCCCGGGGGUGACACGUGUGAGGUGGCACCAGGUGGCACUGGGUGGCCUUGGUGGCCUCCUGAGAGCACCUGGAGGGACCAGGGGGACACAGGUGAGGUGGCACCAGGUGUCCUUUGUCACCUCCCCCUGUCAGUGCCAUCCCUGGGGGUGACACAGGUGAGGUGGCACCGGGUGGCACCAGGUGACCUUGGUCACCUCCCAGGGACCAGGGGGACACGUGUGAGGUGGCACCAGGUGGUACCAGGUGGUCUCUGUCACCUCCCCCUGUCAGUGCCAUCCCUGGGGGUGACACAGGUGAGGUGGCACCGGGUGGCACCAGGUCACCUGCCCCUGUCAGUGCCAUCCCCGGG